AACACAGCUGGCUUGCCCGAAGCCCCACAGAGUUGCUUGUUGUGUUUGGAGAGGAUCUGGCACAGCCAGUUCUAACACAAGAGCGUUUUCCCUGGGAACAAUGAAGCUUUAACACAGGGAGAGAGGGGUCUGUACACCAGCUGACCAGUUCAAACAGGAAUCCUUCACUGGACGUUAGUUGGUUCGGCAUUCUGGACGACAGACGUAGAUCACACGAGACCAGCUUCAGAGAUAACAGAGGGCAACAACAUCAAGACUCAGUAAUCCAACUUGGCUGGGCACGAGGCUUUGGAGAGAGGUGUGAUCUGGCUGUCUGACUGUCUGCUUUGAUUUGUUUGAGAACAGCACUUGAGAAUUAUACCUGACAACCUCUGCUUCACAAGCCAUGUAGAUUACGCAUUUAGGAGGUGUCUCAACAACUUUUUAAAUGAGUCCAAACAGCUGCUCUGGAAAACUCCCACCUUCUGGCAGAGCUGCUCUGACACCGGCAGAAACAAUAGCACAGUCAAGGCCGCAGUUCCUCACAGAUACACCAGUAAAGCAUUUAAGCCCCGAGGGGACAAUCAUCGCCCACGAUAAUGCUUGGGAUGAAGCUGGCUGUGAAGAUUCGGGCAUGGUGACAAGACCAUGGUUAGCAUUACAUACAGUACAUUAUAAACCUGAUUACAUAAGCCAUGUGUCCUCUGGGAAGGUUGAUAAAAUAUUGAUGGAGCUACACAGAAAAACGUAAGGGGCUGUUUUAAGUUAGUGCACUUAGGAUAAUGAUACUUAGGGUAUCUAUUAAUGAAUCUCUGCUUUUCAUGCAAUCACACAUAAUAUAUGAGAGAUGUGUUUCUCUUUCACAGAUCCGAUGUAUUAAUAUAUUCACAGAGCUUUGAAAUCUAAAAAUAGCGUGCAUGCAACCACGAGUUGAAUGGCUAAUAGCUUAUGCAAAGUGUGUUACAUUUUGGCAUACGCUAACAAAAGCCUGCUCACAACUGAGCUAUUUUGAGAUGUGCAAGUUCUGCCUCUACGUCACUAUACCAUAUGGGAAAGAGCCAGAGUAAAAUUUCCCUGAUUUUAAUGUCAUAUUAGCUCUGUUCAUCCCGUCAUCCUUUGCUCUUUUUCCUGUGCGCUAACUGUUAUCUCUGCCCUUUCCUGCUCACUCAUAUUCCAUCCUCAUACCUUUUCCGCUGCCGUCAUUUGCACACAUCCAUCUUCUAAUUCAUUUCCAGUGCUUACGUUUCCAUGCUCACUUAUUCCUUGUUUACACCUAAUAUGAAAAUCGAUCUAGUGCGAUCUGAUCACAGCUGAUGCAUGUCACAGAACAAAUAACAACAUAGAAUUCAAAGAUGUGGAGUCUGUGAUGUUUUCAAUGCUUUGAAAGAAAUGUCUUAUGCUCACCAAGGCUGCAUUUAGUUGAUUUAAAAUACUGUAAUAGCAGUAAUAAUGUGUACUAUUAUUAUAAUUUAUAAUUUACUAUUUUUGUGAUGCAAUGCUGAAUUUUCAA